CCGUGUGCCAAAAAUAGGCCACGGGCACAGCCGCGCCCAAAAAUGAGCGCCCGAAGGUCGGGGUGCCAUCACCCCCCAGCGGAAAAAUGGCCAAAAAACGGGUGGGCAAUAGCCUUGGCGGGCGGCGUGGGCGAAGUUCGUCCGCCGGACUCGGAAUGGUCCCAGACUUUGCGGGCGGCCUCCGUUUGCCAAAAAUAGGCCACGGGCACAGCCGCGCCCAAAAAUGAGGGCCCGAAGGUCGGGGCGCCAACACCCCCCAGCGGAAAAAUGACCAAAAAACGGGUGGGCUAUAGCCUUGGUGGGGGGCGUGGGCGAAGUUCGUCCGCCGGACUCGGAAUGGCCCCAGACUUUGCUGGCGGCCUCCGUGUGCCAAAAAUAGGCCACGGGCACAGCCGCGCCCUAAAAUGAGCUCCCAAAGGUCGUGUUCCAACACCCCCCAGCUGAAAAAUGGCCAAAAAACGGGUGGGCUAUAGCCUUGGCGGGGGGCGUGGGCGAAGUUCGUCCGCCGGACUCGGAAUGGACGUAGACUUUGCGGGCGGCCUCCGUGUGCCAAAACUAGGCCACGGGCACAGCCGCGACCAAAAAUGAGCGCCCGAUGGUCGGGACGCCAACACCCCCCAGCGGAAAAAUGGCCAAGAAACGGGUGUGCUAUAGCCUUGGUGGGGGGCGUGGGCGAAGUUCGUCCGCCGGACGCGGAAUGGCCCCAGACUUUGCGGGCGGCCUCCGUGUGCCAAAAAUAGGCCAUGGGCACAGCCGCGCCCAAAAAUGAGCGCCCGAAGGUCGGGGCGCCAACACCCCCCAGCGGAAAAAUGGCCAAAAAACGGGUGGGCUAUAGCCUUGGUGGGGGGCGUGGGCGAAGUUCGUCCGCCGGACUCGGAAU
rnacentral:lncRNA from 1 species